CGUCGGACAGAUGAUAAAAGCAUGCAAUUAACGUCUUCUUUCUUGAAAUUUUAACGUUGAUUUCGCCGUGUAUAGACCUGGAUUAUGUGGGUUGAAUCUGCGCUUAAAGGUAAAGGAGGAGCAUUGCUUGGCUUAGACAGCACGUUUUUGUUCUCCAUUAGUCAAAUACACCCUUUUCGGACCAAAGGUGCUACAUAAAGAAGACAAUUCUUUGCAAUUGUUUUCACAACCUGGACCUCUUAAAUCCAGUUUAUAUAAGGUCCUUGGAAUUUACUUGGCAUGCUGUGGUGGUCGCAGAAAUCAUCCUGGGACAGAAACAAAUACCAAUAAUGUUCUGUCUUCUGUGUUAGUGUAAUAAAAGAUAUCCAGU